rfam:Aedes aegypti strain Liverpool supercont1.45 genomic scaffold, whole genome shotgun sequence.
CAAUCGGCCCUUUUCAGGACCAACAAAUGUGUUCUAAAGAGUUAUAU